CCUGCUUGAGAGUCUAAUCUGGCAAUAAAUCCCAGCGCUUAGCAAGGAUAAACAUCUUCCUGCUCCAGGGCAAAAGCAACACGUAACCGACGGGAACUGGGGGAGACCCAAAGUCAUUUCACUUCCUCCAGGCAGGACCACUUUAUCUUCAUUGCAAAGUUACGCAUUAGUAUCAGAGAUCGCCAGCACGUCGCCCUGCCAUGAAGGGACAAGUCACAGCCCUUCCUCGGGAGAGCCUCGUCAGCGCAUAAGACCGCACGGACUGGAUAAAGCUGCCUGGCAAAGGGCAGCCAGCGCCUCCCUUCAGACAUCGACAGUGGUCUACGUUGGCAAAAAGAAACCGUCCAGAGGUACCUCUGGUCUGAAGUGGCAGCUUGGAGCUCCCCAAAGCAGCAUCUGGCAGUUAUCCUGAACUCUCAAAGAUACUGAUAUUCAAGAGAUUUCCAGGAAUAUGGAGGUGGAUAAAGAGGAGAGAUGCUUAGAGCACAGUGGGAAAGAAAAGACUGGUGAGACCUCACUGGGGUCUGUAAGAGAUGCUCCUCCUGCAAGAAAACCUUCAUGCAAACCUGACUGUGUUAGACGCCGGCAACUGCUACCACACUAUAUGAAGUUAUUUAGAAAUGGGCUUUAUUAGCUCUGCUCCUCUCUGAGCCACUCUGGUUUGUUAUGUACUCCUACGUGUUACAGAUACGGAUCCCUUUCCAAGCUGUUUUUUUUACCCUCCAUGUUUUAUGCGUGUGUGUAUG